rnacentral:rRNA from 1 species
CCUACGGGAGGCAGCAGUGAGGAAUAUUGGUCAAUGGGCGCGAGCCUGAACCAGCCAAGUCGCGUGAAGGAUGACUGCCCUACGGGUUGUAAACUUCUUUUAUAAAGGAAUAAAGUGAGCCACGUGUGCCUUUUUGUAUGUACUUUAUGAAUAAGGAUCGGCUACCUCCGUGCCAGCAGCCGCGGUAAUACGGAGGAUCCGAGCGUUAUCCGGAUUUAUUGGGUGUAAAGGGAGCGUAGAUGGGUUGUUAAGUCAGUUGUGAAAGUUUGCGGCUCAACCGUAAAAUUGCAAUUGAUACUGGCAGCCUUGAGUGCAGUUGAGGUAGGCGGAAUUCGUGGUGUAGCGGUGAAAUGCUUAGAUAUCACGAAGAACUCCGAUUGCGAAGGCAGCUUACUAAACUGCCACUGACAUUGAUGCUCGAAAGUGUGGGUAUCAAACAGGAUUAGAUACCCUGGUAGUC